rfam:Salinispora tropica CNB-440, complete genome.
CUUGAUCGACCCCAACCACAACGGCCGCUCCUCGGGCCGGUCCUGGCCAUAGGUAGCAAUGAUCGCCUGGGCCUC